ensembl:snRNA U7 U7 small nuclear RNA
AAGUACUGGAUCUAUUUAAAUUUGUGUUGCAGGUAUUCUGGCUUACCCAGAAUGCCAUU